AACGAACGCUGGUGGCAGGCUUAACACAUGCAAGUCGAACGCACCCUUCGGGGUGAGUGGCAGACGGGUGAGUAACGCGUGGGAACAUGCCCUUCAGUUCGGAAUAACCCAGGGAAACUUGGGCUAAUACCGGAUACGCCCUUAGGGGGAAAGAUUUAUCGCUGAAGGAGUGGCCCGCGUCUGAUUAGCUAGUUGGUGAGGUAAUGGCUCACCAAGGCGACGAUCAGUAGCUGGCUGAGAGGAUGACCAGCCACACUGGGACUGAGACACGGCCCAGACUCCUACGGGAGGCAGCAGUGGGGAAUUUUGGACAAUGGGGGCAACCCUGAUCCAGCCAUGCCGCGUGUGUGAAGAAGGCCUU
rnacentral:rRNA from 1 species